CGCGUAGGCGGGCUGUUAAGUCGGGGGUGAAAUCCCGGGGCUCAACCCCGGAACUGCCCUCGAUACUGGCAGCCUAGAGUUCGAGAGAGGUGAGUGGAAUUCCGAGUGUAGAGGUGAAAUUCGUAGAUAUUCGGAGGAACACCAGUGGCGAAGGCGGCUCACUGGCUCGAUACUGACGCUGAGGUGCGAAAGCGUGGGGAGCAAACA
rnacentral:rRNA from 1 species